rnacentral:siRNA from 1 species
UUAGAUCUGACAAUCAUUUUGA